rnacentral:rRNA from 1 species
UACAGAGGGUGCAAGCGUUAAUCGGAAUUACUGGGCGUAAAGCGUGCGUAGGCGGUUUCGUAAGUCGGGUGUGAAAGCCCCGGGCUCAACCUGGGAAUUGCAUUCGAGACUGCGAAGCUAGGGUGCGGAAGAGGGAAGCGGAAUUUCCGGUGUAGCGGUGAAAUGCGUAGAUAUCGGAAAGAACACCAACGGCGAAAGCACUCUGCUGGGCCGACACUGACACUGAGAGACGAAAGCUAGGGGAGCGAAUGGG